rnacentral:rRNA from 1 species
UGCCAGCAGCCGCGGUAAUACGGAGGGGGUUAGCGUUGUUCGGAAUUACUGGGCGUAAAGAGCAUGUAGGCGGAUGAAUUAGUCAGAGGUGAAAGCCCUCGGCUCAACCGAGGAAUUGCGUUUGAUACUACUUUGCUAGAGUCUCGGAGAGGUUGGCGGAAUUCCAGGUGUAGGAGUGAAAUCCGUAGAUAUCUGGAGGAACACCAGUGGCGAAGGCGGCCAACUGGCUCGGUACUGACGCUGAGAUGCGAAAGCGUGGGGAGCAAACAGGAUUAGAUA